rnacentral:rRNA from 1 species
GACGAACGCUGGCGGCGUGCUUAACACAUGCAAGUCGAACGGAAAGGCCCUGCAUUUGUGGGGUGCUCGAGUGGCGAACGGGUGAGUAACACGUGAGUAACCUGCCCUUGACUUUGGGAUAAUUUAAGGAAACUGGGGCUAAUACCGGAUAGGAGCUCCUGCUGCAUGGUGGGGGUUGGAAAGUUUCGGCGGUUGGGGAUGGACUCGCGGCUUAUCAGCUUGUUGGUGGGGUAGUGGCUUACCAAGGCUUUGACGGGUAGCCGGCCUGAGAGGGUGACCGGCCACAUUGGGACUGAGGAACGGCCCAGACUCCUACGGGAGGCAGCAGUGGGGAAUAUUGCACAAUGGGCGGAAGCCUGAUGCAGCAACGCCGCGUGCGGGAUGACGGCCUUCGGGUUGUAAACCGCUUUCGCCUGUGACGAAGCGUGAGUGACGGUAAUGGGUGAAGAAGCACCGGCUAACUACGUG